UGAUCGAUCAUGAGAUGACUGUGACAACCAUCAUUCUAUUGAUUUCCAUCAAUUAUUAGACUGAUUUUGUUAUUUAGUCAGGUGUCAUAUUCCUUCAUCAGUGCUCACAGUGUGUUCUGAAACUGUGAGGAUGACCUUGACCAAUAGAAAAAUUUCCUUCUUUGGACAAGAAUUUAUGAGUGUCUGUGCUCACAAUCUAGAGUGUCCAAGAGUUUCUAAGAAAAGCACUAUCUUCAAGAACAAAACAGGAAACCCUGAUAAACUCAACCAAUAAACUAACUGCGGUAGUCACGUU
ensembl:misc_RNA Gm22553 predicted gene, 22553